rnacentral:rRNA from 1 species
UACGGGGGGGGCAAGCGUUGUUCGGAAUUACUGGGCGUAAAGGGCUCGUAGGUGGCCAACUAAGUCAGACGUGAAAUCCCUCGGCUUAACCGGGGAACUGCGUCUGAUACUGGAUGGCUUGAGUUUGGGAGAGGGAUGCGGAAUUCCAGGUGUAGCGGUGAAAUGCGUAGAUAUCUGGAGGAACACCGGUGGCGAAGGCGGCAUCCUGGACCGACACUGACGCUGAGGAGCGAAAGCCAGGGGAGCAAACGGGG